rnacentral:rRNA from 1 species
GGCUAACGCUGGCGGCGUGUCUUAGCCAUGCAAGUCGAGCGGACUUAUGGGGUAACUUAUAAGUCAGCGGCGGACGGCGGAGUAACACGUAGCUAACCUACCCUCUGGACGGGGAUAACCUACCGAAAGGUGGGCUAAUACCCGAUGUAGUCAUCCUGUAUAGGGGUGAUGAAAGGUGGGCUUCUGUUUACAAGCUCAUGCUGGAGAGGGGGCUGCGGCCUAUCAGGUAGUUGGUAGGGUAAUAGCCUACCAAGCCGAUGACGGGUAGCCGGCCUGAGAGGGUGACCGGCCCGAGGGGCACUGAGAUACGGGUCCCACUCCUACGGGAGGCAGCAGGCUAGAAAUUUGGGCAAUGGGGGAAACCCUGACCCAGUGACGCCGCGUGCAGGAAGGAGCCCUUCGGGGUGUAAACUGCUGUCGUGUAGGGAGAAGGGUACUAAGGUGAACAAUCUUAGUACUUGACGGUACUACAGGAGGAAGCCCAGGCUAACCUCGUGCCAGCAGCCGCGGUAAGAUAGCGUACU